CACGUAGGGUGCGAGCGUUGUCCGGAAUUAUUGGGCGUAAAGAGCUCGUAGGCGGUGUGUCGCGUCGGCCGUGAAAACCUGCAGCUUAACUGUGGGCUUGCGGUCGAUACGGGCAUCACUGGAGUUCGGCAGGGGAGACUGGAAUUCCUGGUGUAGCGGUGAAAUGCGCAGAUAUCGGGAGGAACACCAGUAGCGAAGGCGACACGCUGGGCCGGUACUGACGCUGAGGAGCGAAAGCGUGGGGAGCAAACAGG
rnacentral:rRNA from 1 species